UGGGGAAUCUUGCGCAAUGGGCGAAAGCCUGACGCAGCAACGCCGCGUGAGCGAAGAAGGCCUUCGGGUUGUAAAGCUCUGUCAGGAGGGACGAAGCCACUCGGGUGAACAGCCCAGAGGGUGACGGUACCUCCAGAGGAAGCCCCGGCUAACUACGUGCCAGCAGCCGCGGUAAUACGUAGGGGGCGAGCGUUGUCCGGAAUCAUUGGGCGUAAAGCGCGUGUAGGCGGCUUGGCAAGUCUGGUGUGAAAGCUCGAGGCUCAACCUCGAGUCUGCACCGGAAACCGCCUUGCUAGAGUCCGGAAGAGGAGACUGGAAUUCCUGGUGUAGCGGUGAAAUGCGCAGAUAUCAGGAAGAACACCGGUGGCGAAGGCGGGUCUCUGGGACGGUACUGACGCUGAGACGCGAAAGCGUGGGGAGCAAACAG
rnacentral:rRNA from 1 species